ensembl:lncRNA
UUGGUAUGGUAAGGUGUGCUGUGUGGUGUUAUGGUAUGGUGUGCUGUGUUGUGGUAUGGUAAGGUGUGCUGUGUUGUGUUGUGGUAUGGUAAGGUGUGCUGUGUUGUGUUGUGGUAUGGUAAGGUGUUCUGUGCUGUGUUAUGGUAAGGGGUGGUAAGGUGUUCUGUGUUGUGUUGUGGUAUGGUAAGGUGUGCUGUGUUGUGUUGUGUUGUGGUAUGGUAAGGUGUGCUGUGUUGUGUUGUGGUAUGGUAAGGUGUUCUGUGUUGUGUUGUGGUAUGGUAAGGUGUUCUGUGUUGUAUUGUGGUAUGGUAAGGUGUGCUGUGUUGUGUUAUGAUAUGAUAUGGUAAGGUGUGUUGUGCUGUGUUGUGUUGUGGUAUGGUAAGGUGUGCUGUGUUGUGCUAUG